UUGCCCACUGCGGCAACACACAUGCUAAGACUGGAAUAACACAGAGGAAGUUAGCAUGACGCCUGCUCAAGGAUGACAUGCAGAUUCAUAAAGCAUCCCAGACUCUU